rnacentral:lncRNA from 1 species
UUGGUACCUGCAUUGGAGACCGACCAAUUUGGAUUUGUGACGUGUAGGAAAUUGAUCAAUUUGAAUUUGUGUUGUAUAGAAUUCUAUUUGAGGAGAAACGUUUCCUAUCAUUCGAAUUAUAUACUAUACAGCUUAAAGCAUAUUCCGAUCUUAUGCAUUGCAAAUAUACAAUCUAAACUUAUGCCUUGCGAAUUAUAUACUAUACAACUUAUGAAAAAAUCUCAAACACCAUACAAUCAAGAGUCUCCAGAAGACAAGUACUAGUGAUGCAAAAUGUUCCAAUCUUUCCCCUGAAAAUUGAAUAGGAAAUUUUAUGCCAAUAAAUUAUUUGAAGAGAAUGAGUAGUUAUCUUAUUCAAGAACCACACUACUUAACAACUUCCAUUAUACUAUGUAAUGAAGAGUACUACAUUCCAGGAUUAAGUGAUAAACGUGCAAAACAAACGAAACAUUUGAAUAAUUUGUGAUAUAUUGCAAUAGACUAACUUUACAGAGGUAUGUGAGAAAUAAAAGAAACAAGGAAUGUAGGAGAUUAACAAUUUAAGAAGAAGCUUACAUGGAAAUGUUGGUUCAAUAAGCAGAAUAGAGAAUCGUUGAACCUAAUGGACAGACACGCCUCAAACAGGUCGACCCGUUGAAGUACUCCUUCUCAAAGGAGACUGCUACAAUAGCAUCCCU